rnacentral:rRNA from 1 species
AUUCAGUCUGUAGUUGCCGUCGGGCUGGUCGGAAAUUGGAAGGGCUUCCCGCGAACGGGGCCGUCCGACCGCCAGCUUCGGUCAGGACAGACGCAUUUGUCUCCCUCUCCGAGGACGCCGCAGCCCGCGGGGAAGUGCAAACGUGACGGCCUUGAGGUCGGGAGAUGGCAGGUGGCCGCUGGCGAACUUUAAUGUUCUUCGGCGGUUGUUAGCCGUCCCGUCGGUGGCUCGUCUCCCCGCGGAGGUAUCAUGACGUCCUACGGGGCGUCUGACGUCUCCUCCUCUGCGAAGCCUGGACGUGCAGUGGCGAGCAAAGGCAACCGCGCGGCCGCACCACGCCGUGGUGGGCCAGCGUCAGGUCGGUGCCGUCGGCCGCUGAGGACCAGUCGGAGGUUGGAGGCUAGCGGCGAGUAGGUCGGUCACCCACCCGACCCGGUCUUGAAACACGGACCAAGGAGUCUAACAUGUGCGCGAGUCAAUGGGUCUCGAACAAGCCCAGAGGCGCAAUGAAAGUAAAGGCGAGGCACCAGCCCGCCGAGUCGGGAUCCUACUUCUAAGAGUAGGCGCACCGACGACCCGUCUUUUGCAGUUUACUGCUUAGGCGGAGUGUGAGCGUACACGUUGGGACCCGAAAGAUGGUGAACUAUGCCCGGACAGGACGAGGCCAGAGGAAACUCUGGUGGAGGUCCGCAGCGGUUCUGACGUGCAAAU